GCCAAUAGCCGACAUGCGCGUUUCAGGUCGGCCCUGCUGAUGAACUGAGAGCUGGUGCUGAUCAGAAAGGAAAGCGUAAUUUCCUACAGAGACGUUUGGCUGGCAAGUGGACGAAUCCUUCUGUGUAGACAACUGCAGUUUCACUCCAGUACCCUGCCUAAAGAGAAGAACAAAAAGCCAACCCUGACCUUGGAACUGAGAAGUAGGCAGUGCUAAUAUCGGAAAGUCCUUAUUCUGGCAAAACCACAGUGGAUGCACAGCAGAUAAAGAAACAAGGGACCGUCCACUCCUCUUGUCUUGGUGCCAUUUCUGUUCAAGUCACUUAAGGCCAUCACAAGUCAGGACCGCAAGAUUUGUCUCCUUGGAGACAGAGAUGACAACAUCCACUUUAUGGUCAGAACACUUCUGUGCCUCUCCCAUCUCCAUUUCUGCCUGGAGGCAGGAUCUGGUGGCCGCUGCCUCUUUCCACAUCGCUGCGUUUCUUCACGACUGAUUUCCCCUCGUGGCACAGUGACAGCAAAUAUACCAACUAGAUCCUUACAAACAAAAGUACCAGCCGAUUUUCUGAAGUCAAAGAAAACAGAAACAGAAAAAGGAACACUUUGAGUUGAAACAGUAAAGCAAGGGACAACAUUAAUGCCAAGAAAGACUUCAAAGCAGCAUACAAAUGGAUUACAUUAGAACCAUCUCCCACUAAUUAAACAGCCAUCAAAAGCAGCAGAACAGAGAUAUAGCAGCCAUGCAAGACUAGAAGGAUUCCACGCCGGUGUUUGAGGUUCAGUAAUUAACAACAGAUGCUACUGGGCUUUCUAUGUAACUGAGAGUAGUUACUUAGCCCUGCCUCGUUAAAACUAUUUGAGUGGAGCUUUCACAACAGCCGUCCAAAAUCUGCUUGCAAAUGACACCAAGCAAACUUAAAACUGCAGGACCUGAGCCAUACAGCCAGACAAGGGAUCUCGACAAAGCACUGUCUCCACACUUCAUGCAGGUAGGAGAAGGCUUCAUUUCUGCACCCAAAUCAGCUGCCAGUCAGUACGUAUUCAAUAGAUUUUGAAAUCUUUGUAUACAGAAAGUGCAAUCCAAAGCUACUACUUUACACUGUGGUAAGGACUUUCAAUACUUUCACUUUCUGAAACAAAUUUCAAAUGAUAA